UCUCCAGCCUGGCUCUUUCACAGGGGGCAUUGUGUCAUAUUGCUGGGCCCCACACAUAGGUUAUGUGAGUCUCCUGCCUGUGCCCUACCCAUGUAGGCCAUUGUGACAUAUUGCUGGGUCCAACACCCAGGUGAUGUAACUCUACUGCCUCGGUCCUGCCUACAGCGGACAUUGUGAUAUAACCCUGCACCCAUCACACAGGAGGAGACUGUAACGUAUCCCUAAUUGAGCACCCAGGUGGUGUGACACUUCUGCCCUGUCCCUGCCCUCAGAGGAGAUUCUGACAUAUCACUGCCCCAAAAUGCAGCACCUGAGUAAUUUGACUCUCCUGCCUGGACCCAGCGUACAGAUGGGAUUGUGCUUCAUUGCUGGACCCAGCAUUUAGGCCCACUACCUAUGAGAUUGCAUGCUCCUGCCUGGGCUGUGCCCACAGUGACCUUGUGACAUAUAUCUGCAUCCAUGACCUAAAAGAUGUGACACUUCUUGCCUGCAACCUGCCCUGCACAGGAAAGAUUGCGACUUCUCCCUGGAAGCAGACACCAGGGAUCGUCACUCCCGUGGAUGAUCAAAGCUACUCCGGGGGCUGAGGCAGGAGAAUCGCUUGAACUCGGGAAGCAGAAGUUGCAGUGAGCCAAGGUCGCACCACUGCACUCCAGCCCAGGCGACAUUGUGAGACUCCAUCUCAAAAAAAAAAAAAAGAAAAAAAGUGUACUAACAAGACCCAGCACACAGAGGAGACUUUUACCAUUGUAUGAACACCCAUCAAACAGUACACAUCAUCAUUGUGAGUUCUGAAUCUCACACAUAGAGGAAGUCAAAGGUGGAAAACUUGACUCUCAUAUUUGGAUCCAGUCCACAGGUUCUGCUAGCAAGGAAGACUGAGACAUAUUGUGGGGCUCUACGCCAAUGUGACAUUACUGUUCUGCCUUGGCCUGUACCUGAAAAGGCAUUGUGACAUAUUGCUGGGCCCAGCAACAAGGUGGCAUGAGUCUUCCGUAUGGACCCUGACAACAGAGCAUUGUGACAUAUCUUUAAGAGCAUCAACUAUUUGAUGUGACUCUCCUUUUCUACCAAGGCUUUCCUCAUAUGAGAGAUUGUGACACAUCUUCUGGCACAGAAAUCAAGUGAUGUGUUUCUCCUGCCUGAGCUUUGCUCAUAGAAAGCAUUGUGACAUAUCUCUGGUCUCAGCACCCAGGUGUGAUUUUGACGCACACUUCUGCCCAGCACCUGAGUAAUGUGAUUCUUCAGAAUUGGCCCGGCCCACAAAUAGGAUUGUGCCACACUGCUGGACCCAGUGCCUAAGUGAUGUAACUCUAUUCUUCUGCCUUGGUGCUACUCGAAAAAGACAUUGUAACAUAUCUCAGAGCCUUACACCCAGGUAAUGUGAGUCUCCUCUUCUGCCUUGCUGCUGCACACAGAAGCGGAAUAUGUACAGGAUUGUUAAUCUCAUCUUGGAUCUUCCUGCACUUGUGAUUGUGACACAUGCCUCUGUGUAGAACCUGAGUGAGUUUACUCUCCUGCCUGGAUUUAACCCAUAGAUGGAAUCGUGACAUAUCACUGUACCAGAAACUAGGUGAUGUGACUCUAUUUUCUUGCCUCUGUGUUUUUAUAUGGGGCAUCGUGACAUAUCACUGGGCCUUGCACCCAAGUGAUGGGAGUUUUCUCUCCUGCUUUGGUGCCGUCCACAAUGAAAAUUGUGAAAUAUUGCUGCCCUCCCCACUAGGUUAUGUUACUCUCCUGCCUCUGCUUUGCCCACAUGGGUCACUGUGACAUAUUGCUGGGUCUAAAACCCAGGUAAUGUCACUCUCUUGUUUGGGUUCUGCCUGCAGGAGUCAUUGUCACAUAUCUCUAUGCUCAUCACCCAGGUAAUAUGAUUCCCUUUUACUGCUUAGUUCCUUCUCACAAAACAACUUGUGACAUAUUGCUAGGCCCAAUACACCUAGCUGGUGUAACUCUUCUUUUCUUUUCUUUCCUUUUUUUUUUUUUUUUUUUGAGAUGGAGUCUCACUCUGUUGCCCAGGCUGGAGUGCAGCGGCAUGAUUUCAGCUCACUACAGCCUCUGCCUCCUAGGUUGAAGCGAUUGUCCUGACUUGGCCUCCCAAGUAGCUGGGAUUAAAGGCAUGUGCCACCACGCCCGGCUAAUUUUUGUAUUUAUAGUAGAGACAGGGUUUCGCCAUGUUGGCUAGGCUGGUUUCGAACUUCUAACCUCAGGUGAUCCUCCUGCCUCGGCCUCCCAAAGUACUGGAAUUACAGGCAUGAGCCACUGCACCUGGCCUGAUUCUUCUCUUCUUUCUAGGUUUCAACUGCAGCAGAGAUUGUAACAAACCACUGGGCCCAGCCGCAUAAUGAUGUUACUCUUUUGCCUUGGGCCUGCCCUCAGAAGGCACUGUCACAUAUUCAUGGGCCCAACGCCAAGGUGAUAUGUGUCUCCAGCCUGGACCCUGCCCACAGGGGGCAUUGUGACAUAUCUCUUGGCCCAUCAGAUGUUUGAUUGUUAUCCCCUCCCCUCUUCUACCCUGUGUUUGCCUAUAAAAGACACAGUCAUAUGUUCCUGGGCCCAGCACCUAGGUGUUGUCUUACUGGAAUGUGUCCACAUGGGGAUUGUGAUAUGUCACGUGGCCCAGUACUUAACUUGAUGUGACUCUCCUCUCAUGCCUAGGCCUUGUAGAGAAUCCCCUUCCCCUUUUGUUUUCCUUUUUUUCUUUGCAGAUCCAGGAGAUAAUCAACUAAGAGCCAGGCACCCGUUUAGGUCUAAUAAACAUUUUACAAACUGCUCUCUCUUUUAAUUCACCUAUCUGAGAGAUUCCUCUGUACAAUAAAACUUGGUCUCCACAAUCCUUUACCUUAACCUAAACCUUCCCUUUCAUUGAUCCCAGGUCUUCAGAUUCCACCACUUGUCAACCACAAAAUAUUUAAAUUUACCUGGAAGCCGCCCGCUUUGAGUUGUCCCGCCUUUCUGAACCAAACCAAUAUAUUCCUGCAAAACCGGCCAUGAUUAAAACAUCAAA
rnacentral:lncRNA from 1 species